ACCUACGGGACGCAGCAGUGGGGAAUAUUGCACAAUGGGGGGAACCCUGAUGCAGCGACGCCGCGUGGGUGAAGGAGUACUUCGGUACGUAAAGCCCUAUCAGCAGGAAAGAAAAUGACGGUACCUGACUAAGAAGCCCCGGCUAACUACGUGCCAGCAGCCGCGGUAAUACAUAGGGGGCAAGCGUUAUCCGGAAUUAUUGGGUGUAAAGGGUGCGUAGACGGAAGAACAAGUUGGUUGUGAAAUCCCUCGGCUCAACUGAGGAACUGCAACCAAAACUAUUCUCCUUGAGUGUCGGAGAGGAA
rnacentral:rRNA from 1 species